rnacentral:lncRNA from 1 species
CACGCUAAAAGAUCUGCUGGAAACUCGGAGUUGGUCGGCAAGUAAUAAAAAGAGAGCCAUAAUCAUAGCCGAGCAAGCCAGCGAUAUAGUGGGAUUAAGUUUGAAAAAAGCAGAGUAGAGAAGAAAGUGAGAUGGCGGCUCAGUUUUUUGGGAGCAAACCCUUCACCAGAGCUGGUAGUGCAAAUAAUGGAACAAGUGUCCAUGUCACAGACAGCACAGCAGUCUAGCAUGUAUCCAGGAGAGACUGCAUCGUUACCAGGAUCUACUAAUAGAGGGCAGCAUAAGAAAAUGUAUUAUGCUGCUUUUAAAAACUUCACAGACGGUGAAAUUGAUGCUUAUUUCCAGGAUUUCCAAAGACAAUAUGCUCUGGAAGGUCUGGAUAAAGAGAACUGGGCAGCGAUCCUGAGCAGCAAGUUCUCAGGCAAUGCAGCGGAAGCUUACCAGGCAGUACCCGACUCUGACAUUCAUGACUAUGGGCGGGUAAGAGACAUUUUGUUGGUCCGGGAUGCUGUAACCCCCAAAUCCUACAUGAGGAAAUUUAGGAAAGGGGAGCAGAGACUCUUAUGCAGAAUGGGUUUCCAGAUGCACCGGGCUGCUAAGAACUGGAUGCAGGGCUGCCAAGCAACCAUCCUGGAGGAUGUGUUACAAUUGUUGCUACUGGAGCAAUUUUUCAACCACACACCAAGUGAGAGCAGAGACUGGGUGAGAGAUCGGAAACCGGGCAUCAUAGAGGAGGCAGCACGGUUUGCUGAUGAAUAUCAUGAUGGGAGGAAGGUAGAAACAAGUGGAGGGCGACCAUCUUAACUGACGCAAAGCACUCCUCCGCCACCCAGACCUGCUCCCUUCACUCCAGUACCCACUCAAGCACCCAUCCAACGCCCUGCAUUCCUGUGCCAUACCUGCAACCAACCCGGGUAUUUUAAACAUAAUUGCCCAAGCCGCAACAUGGAGCUGAGAACUGCCAACUCUGCAACCAACCAGGGCCUCCGCUUACUGUUACCAGCAGGAGGUUCCCACCACAUAAGGACACAAUGAGGAGCAGUGGACUGGGCUACAUGAGGCGAAUCUGGUCCAAGCUGCAGACGACAACUGGGAACAUCAUAGGCAGUGGGUCACCAUCGAUGGACAGGAAGCAAGAGGCCUGAGAGACACGGGCGCCACCCUCACCCUAGUACAGCCGCACAAGAUAAGUGCCCAAGCCCGCACCAACAAGACGGUAGCUGUGAGGGUGGCGGAAGGAGCCAUCCAUAAGCUCCCUACUGCUUGAGUGCACCUCAACUGGGGCUCGGGAGCCAAGCAUUAAGAGGUGGACAUCAUGAAGGAACUACCAGCCGAGGUGUUACUGGGAAACAAACUGAGCUGCCUGACAUCCUAACUCUCCCACCUCUACCCAGAGGAAAUGUACCCGGUGACCACUAGAUUGCAAGCCUGCCGAGGGGAGCCGUCGCACUCCAAGGACACUCAGGUAGGACCCACUGCAAGAUCCUUUCAUGUGAACAUGCUCAAAUCCUACUUCGAGAGGGUCGAGCACGUGGCCGCUGUAUGUGCCCCUUCUUCCGAAGAUAGUGAGGGCCUUCCCCUACCUGACUUGCUCGCCCCAUCCCCUGGUACGGUGGAGAAGGUCAGUCUUGGAGAAAAAAUUAACCCCUUUAGAAAAGGCAGAUGCCACCCAGCUACUCCAGGGAUACAGGGAAAUAUUUUCCUCAUUGCCAGGGUACACCUCCUCUGCGGUCCACCAAGUUGAGUCUCAGGGAGAAAUUCCCUUAUGGAAACAACCUUACCGUAUUCCUGAAGCAGUCAGAGAUAACAUGCUCAACGAGAUUCAGGAGCUGGGGGUCAUCAAACCCUCCCAGAGUCCCUGUGCUUCUCCGGUAGUACUGGUACCCAAGCGAGAUGGAACGACUCGCUUCUGUAUCAACUACUGAAAACUUAACGACAGGACAGUUACCUAUGCCUACCCCAUGCCCAGGAUAGACAAGUUACCAGAUUGACUGCCAUAGAUCUGUGUAAAGGUUACUGGCAAAUCCCCCUGGAGCCAGCAGCCAUUCCUAAGUCGCUAUUCAUCACCCCAUUUAGGUUAUACCAAUUAAAAGGGACACUAUAGUCACCAGAACAAUUACGCUUAUUUAAUUUGUUCUGGUCAGUAGAAGCAUUACCUUCAGGCUCUUUGCUGUAAACACUGUCUUUUCAAAGAAAAUGCAAUGUUUACAUUACAGCCUAGUGAUAACUUCACUGGCCACUUCUCAGAUGGCUGUUAGAGAUCAUUCCUGGGUCAUUGCUGCCUAAAAUGCAUCCAAACAUUCAGUAUCUCCUCCCUCUGCAUGCAGACACUGAACUUUCCUCAUAGAGAUUAAUUGAUUCAAUUAAUCUCUAUUAGGAGAUGCUGAGUGGCCAGGGCUGUGUUUGAAUUGUGCUGGUUAUGCCCCUGAUCUGCCUCUUUGUCAGUCUCAGCCAAUCCUAUAAGAAAGCAUUGUGAUUGGAUUAGGCUACCACUUCUGCUGAUGUCAGCAGGCAGUGGCCAGAUCUAAAGGAAACAGGGACAAAGCUAGCAGCUCCAGGCUUGAAUACAGGUAAGAUAUUACUAUAUUUAGGGAGGCAUGAGGGGACCAGGGUGGAUCUAACCCUACCAGAGGGAACCAUCUGGUGGUUCUAACCCUAUAGGGUCAGGAAUACAUGUUUGUGUUCCUGACCCUAUAGUGCUCCUUUAACCCCUUAAGGACACAUGACAUGUGUGACAUGUCAUGAUUCCCUUUUAUUCCAGAAGUUUGGUCCUUAAGGGGUUAAGGUUAUGCCUUUUGGGAUGAAGAAUGCCCCGGCUACCUUUCAGAGGAUGUCCGACAGGCUCCUAGAGGAUUUCAGGACUUUGUGUGUGCGUAUUUAGAUGAUAUAGCCAUUUACAGCAGCACAUGGGAGUACCACCUGAAACACUUAUCUAUGGUACUGAAGCGAAUUCAGGCAGAAGGGCUCGCUUUUAAGUCUGACAAAUGCCACGUUGGUAUGGCUGAGGUGCACUACCUCGGUCAUUGGGUAGGUUCUGGCAAACAGCGACCAGAACCGCCAAGGUAGAGGCUGUUGAUAAACAGACAGGACAGGGGUAGGUUAUUUUGGCAUUAAGGGGUGCCCACGAAGGCACAAUAGGGAAAGUUCUUAUCAGUUAGAUCUAUUUCCCUUCCCCUCUGUUGUUCUUUCCUCCCCUGUCACUCUGCAUUGUUGCUUUAUUAGUUCAACUGUAAAAACAUUGCUAACAAACUUACCUUUCCAUCCAUACUGUAACAAUAUUUUAUUGUUUAUACACACAUGAG